rnacentral:lncRNA from 1 species
GUGAUUUAGUACAUUCUUUGCUUAGCUUUACCUGUUCAGCAGGAGUAGUGUGAUUUGCUGAAACCUUAGGCUGCAAACUGUGAGCUCACAGUUUCCAUACGUUUUCAUAUAGGAAUAGAGUUAAUUUUCUCACUAAUUUUCCAACUAUCUGCUACAGUGCUGUGUUUUGUCUUUAGUAUGAGAAGGAAAUUGCCAACACACUCACAUUUUGGUUGUUGCUAAGUAAUGUUUAUCUUGAGUCCAGGUUUUUUUAGUUUCCCAUGCUCUACCAGCAAGCAGCUGCACCAAGAAGCACAAACAAGAAGAUUAGGAAGCUAUAACCAUCAGCAGGAGCUGCAACCUGGCAAAACAAGGACAAGGUAUGACCUGCCUACAUGAACACAGAAAAAAUAAUCCAAUAAGGUGUUAGAAUUUCCCACACCAAAAAUUACCAAGAGGUACAUGCAAAGUGCUUGAAGAGUAGAGAAGAGGUGAGCACAUGAGUUAUAAGGGUAAAAUUGCCUUAAUUAUUUCUUUGUUCUGGGUCCCUCUGCAGAGGCACCUGACUCAAGCUGACCUGCUGCCAUACCAUGCUAUUGAAUUAUUUAUUUUUAUAAAUCCAGUGCCUGAGAUCCUGCUCCUGGGGACCCAGGGUCAAGUCUACAGAAGGAGGAAAUGCAAAGGGACUCAGGUCACAGCAGGAAACAGAACUAUGCACCUUAUUGCAGGGUUUAAAACACCAGUUCUGAGGACUUCUAAGGCUACCAACUUCCAAGGAAGCAACUGUUCCACCUGA